CAGCAGCCACGGUAAUACGAAGGGGGCUAGCGUUGCUCGGAAUGACUGGGCGUAAAGGGCGCGUAGGCGGUUCGUACAGUUGGAUGUGAAAUUCCUGAGCUUAACCUGGGGGCUGCAUUCAAUACGUGCGGGCUUGAGUGUGGAAGAGGGUUGUGGAAUUCCCAGUGUAGAGGUGAAAUUCGUAGAUAUUGGGAAGAACACCGGUGGCGAAGGCGGCAACCUGGUCCAUAACUGACGCUGAGGCGCGAAAGCGUGGGGAGCAAACAGGAUUAGAUACCCGCGUAGUCCCUGUCUCUUAUAC
rnacentral:rRNA from 1 species